rnacentral:rRNA from 1 species
GACAGAGGGUGCGAACGUUGUUCGGAAUUAUUGGGCGUAAAGCGCACGUAGGCGGCCGACUAAGUCGGGUGUGAAAGCCCAGGGCUCAACCCUGGAAGUGCACUCGAAACUGAUCGGCUUGAAUAUGGAAGAGGGUCGCGGAAUUCCCGGUGUAGAGGUGAAAUUCGUAGAUAUCGGGAGGAACACCAGUGGCGAAGGCGGCGACCUGGGCCAAUAUUGACGCUGAGGUGCGAAAGCGUGGGGAGCAAACAGG